GCUACAUCACGUAGCAUGCCAGACGGACCCACCAAAGAUGCGCACACAUGGAACGCAGCCUUCUAUGAAAACACUGCGACCUCACUACAAAAGUACAGGCACACAGAAAACUGUGCUGCACUGGGACCUCAGCUGUAAGAGACCUCGCUUGGAAGAGGGAGAGGACAAGAUGUGACGUUUUUCAGGACCCGGCCCCAUAUGUGAAUGAGGUGCUGAAGAUCUCAAAACCUGAGGAUCUCUCUGCCUAGUAUGAGAAACCUGACAAGCAGGAAGUUAUAGCCAGCUAUGUGUCGAAAUUCAAUCAAGGGCAGGUCGAAACCCUGUAUAACUUCCCUGAGCAUCAGGGAACACUCUGCGUAUCUGGAGCACCGAGCAGGAGGGCAGGACCAUCCCGAUUCUCCGGCCCAGAGGGCCUCAACACCAGCUCACAAAGCUUCUGUACGCCAAAUACCUGUAACGGCUGAGCAAAGUUCACAUUGUAUUUAGAGAAUAAAAGGUGACACACAAAUAUAAAGUGUUCCUUUGUUUACAGUAUAGCUACUGA